AUUGAACGCUGGCGGCAGGCUUAACACAUGCAAGUCGAGCGAGCGGCGGACGGGUGAGUAAUGUCUGGGCAACUGCCUGAUGGAGGGGGAUCACUACUGGAAACGGUAGCUACUACCGCAUACCAUCAGAUGUGCCCAGAUGGGAUUAGCUAGUAGGUGGGGUAAUGGCUCACCUAGGCGACGAUCCCUAGCUGGUCUGAGAGGAUGAUCAGUCACACUGGAACUGAGACACGGUCCAGACUCAUACGGGAGGCAGCAGUGGGUAAUAUUGGACAAUGGGCGCAAGCCUGAUGCAGCCAUGCCGCGUGUGUGAAGAAGGUCUUCGGAUUGUAAAGAACGUUAAGCUGGGAGGCGUUACCAGCAGAAGAAGCACCGGCUAACUUCGUGCCAGCAGCCGCGGUAAUAC
rnacentral:rRNA from 1 species